GCCGAGGUGGUGGAAUUGGCAGACACGCUAGCUUGAGGGGCUAGUGCCCGUAUCGGGUGUGCGGGUUCGAGUCCCGCCCUCGGCACCA
rnacentral:tRNA from 1 species